UACAGAGGUCUCAAGCGUUGUUCGGAUUCAUUGGGCGUAAAGAGCUUGUAGGCGGUUUGUCGCGUCUGCCGUGAAAAUCCGGGGCUCAACCCCGGACUUGCGGUGGGUACGGGCAGACUAGAGUGUGGUAGGGGAGACUGGAAUUCCUGGUGUAGCGGUGAAAUGCGCAGAUAUCAGGAGGAACACCGAUGGCGAAGGCAGGUCUCUGGGCCACUACUGACGCUGAGAAGCGAAAGCGUGGGGAGCGAACAGG
rnacentral:rRNA from 1 species